ACAGAUGGACAAGGCCAGGGGCAACAAGAGAGAGAUAAGCUGCUGCUAAUGGCCGGGAAAUGGUCUUUUUGUUUAUCUCAAGGAAAAUGGCCAUCUCAGGUGGUAUGCACAUGAGUCUUGCUCAAGCACCCAGGAAUGUCAUGUAGGCAGCAGAAAAUGGAGGAUAAAAGAGGGUCCAACAACCACGGCUAUGUGGAGGCUGAUCUCUCACUGCAACACGGAGUCUGAUCUCUCAUGAUCUCUCACCACGACACGAGCUUCCUGCCUUCAGAUCCUUCUCUACGGACUGUUUGCUGACGGACUUCCCUGGGCCUGCUACCUGAGACCUGCUGCUUCCUCCCUGACCUGCACCCUCUCGUUGCCCAAGACCGGCCUCACUGCUCCUGCCCUUCGGCCUCGGACCAUCGGAACGUCGUGCAACGGGACUGCUGCGGAUCCUGGUGGCCUUCAGGAAAAGAAAUUACAAGAAUCAAGUCUGACCACUGUUUAUCAAAACUUCUAAGUCAUAGUUUCUUUCCCAGUACCCUAUGACUCAGGUUAUAUAUAUAUUCUAUGCUGAAGGAUGUUAACCUUUAAUCAAUCUGUUUUUUGAACACAUACAAGAAUACCUUGCAUUAUUUUCCUUUCACUUGUUUUGAAGAACCUCUUGCCUUUCCUCUUUCACCUCUUUGAUCUAAUGUGAUUUCUAGCACAGUUCUUAAACUCAAUAACUCAGCAUUAGAUUACUUAUACUUUUUCAUCCUUUCUUUAUCCUAGGUUUGUUGUUGUUGUUGUAGUUGUUUGUUUUGUUUUUGCUAGACUCCACACAUGCACUGCAGAAUGGUUUUGAUGCACCUGCAUUUUAAAACAACAUUGUAUAUCUUUGCAAACUUUGUGGAAGUGUAUGAUUGGGAUUCUGGAGAUAAAAUCAUCAGCGAUUCUAGCUUGGGGCCAAACAUGAUUCUAAAAAACAACUCUGGCUUGAUGAUGGAUAUAUGGUACUGAUGUCCAAAAUGAAAUAAACUAUACUAUGCAUAUAAUGUGCAUAUUAGUUUAUUACCCUCUAUUAUUCAAACAUUUCUAACUAUCCUGCAAAAGGCUGGUACUGAAGUUUAUUAUGUGACAGAAAACCUACAACUGUCUUGACAGUAGAAAAAAAAGAAUGAAUCUGCCUCUAAUUAGGCAUCAGUAACAAAACUUAAGCUUAGGAGGUAUGUUGUCUAAUUACUUCUAAGUAUAAAUAAAAGAGUUUUGUACAUGAACAUAUUUUAGUGUGCCUUUUAAUCAAUGAAAAUCAGAUAUAGUCCUAAGAGUGUUUGUAUCCUUAUGAGACAUAGGAGAGAUACGCAUAAUAUCUGAAGAACUGUAUAAGAAUUCAAUAUUAUUUAGUGCUGUCACUGCAUCUCCCAGAGAAAACUGGGAGAUUUUGUUUUACUCUACAGUGAAGAAGUAGAGAGGAUGAAAUGUUCAAAAUGCCAUCAGAGAGAAAAGUGACACUAAGAACUAAGGGCCAGUUGUGAUGAAGAUGUUGAUACAAUCAACCGCAAUAUAUGUUCGAGAGAAAAUUAAAUGAUAAACAAAUACAGGGUUUCAGAAUGUUAGUGAAGGAAAAAAGAGCUAACUGUCAAAAAAUUCCCAAUUUUAAUUUCCAAUAAAAAUAGUUUUGAUAUGUUUCGACAUUGGUACAAUGGCACAAUGAGAAUGUCAGAAACAUUACCCAACAAAACGAGAGUUCUAUGAAUUAACUUAAUAUUCCAUGCCAUUUCAUAAGAGCUAUACCUGUAUGUAGUGCAUACAGAAUGCCAGUUUUCUUAGAAACUCACUUCUUAUUCCUUCUCAGCAAUAACUCAUGGAUUGCCAAAAGCUGCUCGUUAACUGUUGCCUUAACAGGUAGAUAGUAUCAAAAGAAAACAGCUAUUACAUAUACAUCGUCUACAUCUUCUAAAUAAUAAUUAGUAGGGUGUAUGAAUCCUUCUUUGCUUUUUGGCUCAAAGCUUGCUUUCUGAGGCAUUUCUUGCAAUAAGACUCUGACUUAGAUGAGAGGUGGGUGUUGCCGUGUGGCAAUCAACAUCACUAUGUGAACAAUUUUACAUUUGAAAUCACCUUCCUCCAGAGCUGUUUGCCUCUGGAAGAGAGUGCUCAGGAGUGGUUACUGGCGGAAGAUCUGGCCUUUGACUAAAUAGCCCCAGCUUAGUAUGGGAAAACUGGGGAAUUAUACCAUCGUUUCCUGUGAAAAACAGGAUUCACGUGAGCAUACCUGCUCCCUCUUUUCUGCUGGCAAGGUCCGGAAGAUGGGAACAAAGGAGUUUCUGCUGAGAUCCCAGAGCCAGUAGCUGCCACUCCAAGGAGAGCUGACUCAACCACUUUGGACUUAUAAAUAAGUUUGUUCUGCCAUUGGAAAUUGGAAAUUGUUGCUGUGGUCACCAUAGUUGUCAACAGAAUAACAAUGCCCAACAACCCACCAGUACUGAAGAUCAAUGACAGAGCUACGAACCACGUUGGACUCAUGGUGGUGACUCUCUCCCUUUUGCUUCCUAUAAAGAAACCCUGCUUCUAUUUCCUAUCUUUUCUAUCACCAUUCUUCCCUUCCCCUUCUCCCUGAAUGACUAGGAUUUGUAAUAAACUGGUC
ensembl:lncRNA